AUGCGGGAGAUUGUGACAAAGCUCACAUCCGAUCUAGAAGCACCCAUGGAAAGAGAAAAGCUUAGCCCUGUGCAAAUUCUAGAAUUAUGAAGGAGGGGAGGUGUCUUACUCUAGAUCAGCAAAGAACACUCAUUAGAGAGGUCACUCUGGAAGAGAUCACUGAAGCUGUUAAAGAAAUGCCUAAGGAUAAAGCACCAGGAGUAGAUGGCUUUCCUGUGGAGUUCUUUACUAAGAACUGGGAGGUGGUGAAGGGGGACAUCCUAUCUGCUACUAAGGACUUCUUUUCUACUUGCAAAAUGGCUCAUAGGAUCAACACCACUGCCAUAGCACUUGUUCCUAAAGUUAAAGCUCCUGCCACAGUUAAAGAUUAUAGACAUAUUGCUUGCUACACAACACUUUACAAAAUCAUCUCUAAAGUCAUUACCAGAAGGAUGAAGGUAGUUAUUGGAGAAUUAGUGGGGCCUGCUCAAUCUGCCUUUAUUGAAGGAAGAGGUAUUGUUGAUAACAUCUUGCUUAGCCAUGAAAUCUUUAAGGGGUACUCAAGGAAAGGUGUCUCUCCCAGAUGUGUUCUCAAAGUGGAUUUGAGGAAGGCAUAUGACACCCUGGAAUUCUGAAGCAGAUUCUUAUUGAUCUGGGUUUUCCAGCAAAGUUUAAUCAUUGGAUCAUGGCCUGUGUCAUAUCUGUUUCAUACUCCUUAGUAAUGAAUGGUGGCUUAACUAAACCAUUCAUUGCUAAGAGAGGUAUUAGACAGGGUGACCCUAUGUCACCAUUCCUAUUUGUGUUGGCUAUGGAGUACCUUAACAGAAUACUUCAACAGCUGCACAAAGAAGGGAACUUCAACUUCCAUCCCAAGUGCAGAAAACUCAAUGUAUCUCAUGUAUGUUUUGCUGAUAAUCUCCUUUUGUUCUGCAGAGCUGAUUUAAUAUAUAUCCUGAUAUUGCAUAAAGCCUUUCUUCAGUUUUCAGAAGCAUCUGGCCUCCAGGAAAAUAUCAGCAAAAGUGCAAUCUAUUUGGCUGGUGUGCAGCAAGAUAUCAGAGAAGAAAUUAUUGAAGCCUUGGGAUUCACUGAAGGUCAACUUCCAUUCAGAUAUUUAGGGAUUCCACUGGAUUCUAAGAAGCUGGCUAUCCAUCACUAUAUGCCUCUAAUUGAGAAGAUCACAGAUAAAAUCACUUGUUGGUCAGCUAAGCUUCUAUCAUAUGUUCCACUGGAUUCUAAAAAGCUGGCUAUCCAUCACUAUAUGCCUCUAAUUGAGAAGAUCACAGGUAAAAUCACUUGUCGGUCAGCUAAGCUUCUAUCAUAUGCUGGCAGAAGCAAUUGAUUAAAUCUGUGGUGUUUGGCAUUCAGACUUAUUGGGCACAGAUGUUCAUUAUACCCAAGAAAGUACUGAAAGUUAUAGAAGCAAUAUGCAGAACUUUCCUC
rnacentral:lncRNA from 1 species